rnacentral:rRNA from 1 species
CCUACGGGAGGCAGCAGUGAGGAAUAUUGGUCAAUGGACGAGAGUCUGAACCAGCCACGUAGCGUGAAGGAUGACUGCCCUAUGGGUUGUAAACUUCUUUUAUAUGGGAGAAAAAUGUUCCAAGUGUGGGAUGUUGUAUGUACCAUAUGUAUACGGAUAGGCAAACUGCGUGCCAGCAGCCGCGGUAAGACGGAGGAGACGAGCGUUAUCCGGAGUUAGUGGGUUUAAAGGGAGCGUAGGUGGUUUGUUAAGUCAGAUGUGAAAGUCUGCGGCUCAACCGUAGAAUUGCAGUGGAAACUGGCAGUCUUGAGUGCAGUAGAGGUGGGCGGAAUUCGUGGUGUAGCGGUGAAAUGCGUAGAUAUCACGAAGAACUCCAGUGGCGAAGGCAGCUCACUGGACUGCAACUGACGCUGAGGUUCGAAAGCGUGGGUAGCAAACAGGAUUAGAUACCCGAGUAGUC